ACUGGGGAGUGGACUGUGCAUGGCCCGCUGCACAACUGUACCCUUCCAGAACCCCCUGGAGGCCCAGUACGGUGUCUGUCAACGUCCAAGGCCAGCAGCACCCAGAAUGCACAGUUGCAAUCUUACGUACGGUCCAAAGAAGACCCGAACGGGAGGGAGACUGCCUGAUAACACGUGGCCUUUCCGCUUAGGCCGCCUUCCACCGUGCGUUGGCACCCAUCCUCCACUUUCUGCUCUUCCUGCAGACUUUUUGGCAAUGAGGAUGGGGUCCGAAGCUAACUGCUGAUGGCCUACAGGACAAUGAGAUGUACCCAUGAGGCACCUGCUGAAAAUUUUAGUUCACUGUUCCUCUCAUUACCAAAAUCCCUGGGAUAUAUCUCAACUGCCAAAAAUGAGACAGUGUGAAGAACAGAAACCAAUGCAAUGCGCAGCUUCGAUGUUUCCCGUGAUGGCCUGUCUGAGAGCAGAAAGAUGAAAGUUACUCUCCUGAGCCCUGCAAGUACAAGGCUGUCCCAAAUCCUUCCUGAUAAGCAUCAAACGGAGACAACCAGCUACAAGAAAUUCCUCCAGCAACAGAAUAAAUAUUGGCACGCCAAGAAAUAAUCUACUGAUGGGGACAGAGGCUCUGAAAAUCAUCCUGUGACUAGUCAAUCCCAAGUUCAGUGGCAAAUCCUCAUCUUGACACAAUCAGGAAGAUGUCAAAGUAAGUAUAUUUCUAGUCAAUAUAAAAGCAAUUAUCCCUGGUUUUUACCUCCUGUUGGCAGUUUUG